UGGGGACAGGACAGAUGAGGCAGAAGGGGAGGUUAGGGAGGUUUGAAGAGUGAGAAGAACUUCUGCAGUGGCUGACUUGGAAGAUGAAGGAGGUUAUGAACCAGGGAAUGGGGGCAGCCUCUAGAGGCUGAGAACCUGCUGACACCUACCCACAACCGCUAAGGAAAUGAAGACUUUAAUUCCACAACUGCAUGCAACUAAACUCAGCCAACAACCUGAAUAAGUCGGAAAAAGGCUUCUCCAGAGCCUCCAGAUAAGAGGCCAGGCUGGCGACACCUUGAUUUUGACCUUGUGAGACCUAGAGCAGAGAAACUAGCCAAGAUCACUCAGACUUCUGAUCUACAGAACUGUGAGACCGUAAAUUUAUGUUGUAUUAAGCCACUAAUUGCGUGGGAAUUUGUUACAGGAGCAAUAGAAAAUGAAUACACCUUCUGAUGUAGUUUAAUCAGUUGACAUUAGACGCAAGGUCAAAAAUUUACAUCAGGUAUCUGAAUGUGUAGCAUAUACAACUGAGUGUUGAAAGAAGACAAAAUCGUUUUCAUCACGAAGAAUAUGUGCUCAGUAAGAAUCAGAAUGUUCAAUUGUGUGAAGGUGGGAGAUGGGAAGAUUGGUAUUAUGGCCUGGAUCCAGAAAUCAGUCUUCCACUAUAGGAAAUGGGAAUUUAAAGAUGAUCAGAAGACAGUUGGGAGCAGAGUGAGAAUAAGAACCCUCAACUGCUGUCUCACCUUUCAGAUCACGAAGAAGUUUUUUACAAUGAGCAGAACACUCAACCUGAAAGCAGAAUGGAUUGAGUCACUGCAGCGUGGCAGUGGAAUGGUGUUUGAUGUUGGCAAAGGAAACAUGUACUUCUAGACUGGACAGUUUUCCCUUAGUUUACAGUUUCCAAAUAGAGACAUCACUUUGAAAUAACAUGGAGAACAUACAUGGAUGUACUGAACGAAGAAUAAAGUCUGUGUUGCAGUCCUGUCUCCAUUGACUUUUACAAAUAUGGCUUUGGAUGAAUCACCUAAGUUUUAUUUUUGAGAAUUUACGCUUACCAUGUAUAAAAUGAUAUUGCUAAUAUGUUUGCUGCCUACCCCAUUGGGUUUUGUGAGGAAUAAAUGAUAAUGCUAAGAAAAAGGCA
rnacentral:lncRNA from 1 species